rnacentral:rRNA from 1 species
CAGCAGCCGCGGUAAUACGAAGGGUGCAAGCGUUACUCGGAAUUACUGGGUGUAAAGCGUGCGUAGGUGGUGGUUUAAGUCCGUUGUGAAAGCCCUGGGCUCAACCUGGGAAUUGCAGUGGAUACUGGGUCACUAGAGUGUGGUAGAGGAUAGUGGAAUUUCCGGUGUAGCGGUGAAAUGCGUAGAGAUCGGGAGGAACAUCAGUGGCGAAGGCGGCCAUCUGGGACAACACUGACGCUGAGGCACGAAAGCGUGGGGAGCAAACAGGAUUAGAUACCCGCGUAGUCCCUGUCUCUUAUAC